rnacentral:rRNA from 1 species
UGAUGCAUAGCCGAGUUGAGAGACUGAUCGGCCACAUUGGGACUGAGACACGGCCCAAACUCCUACGGGAGGCUGCAGUAGGAAUCUUCCACAAUGGGCGAAAGCCUGAUGGAGCAACGCCGCGUGUGUGAUGAAGGCUUUCGGGUCGUAAAGCACUGUUGUAUGGGAAGAAAAGUUAAGGUAGGGAAUGACCUUAGCCUGACGGUACCAUACCAGAAAGGGACGGCUAAAUACGUGCCAGCAGCCGCGGUAAUACGUAUGUCCCGAGCGUUAUCCGGAUUUAUUGGGCGUAAAGCGAGCGCAGACGGUUGGUUAAGUCUGAUGUGAAAGCCCGGAGCUCAACUCCGGAAAGGCAUUGGAAACUGGUUAACUUGAGUGCAGUAGAGGUAAGUGGAACUCCAUGUGUAGCGGUGGAAUGCGUAGAUAUAUGGAAGAACACCAGCGGCGAAGGCGGCUUACUGGACUGUAACUGACGUUGAGGCUCGAAAGUGUGGGUAGCAAACAGGAUUAGAUACCCUGGUAGUCCACACCGUAAACGAUGAACACUAGGUGUUAGGAGGUUUCCGCCUCUUAGUGCCGAAGCUAACGCAUUAAGUGUUCCGCCUGGGGAGUACGACCGCAAGGUUGAAACUCAAAGGAAUUGACGGGGACCCGCACAAGCGGUGGAGCAUGUGGUUUAAUUCGAAGCAACGCGAAGAACCUUACCAGGUCUUGACAUCCUUUGAAGCUUUUAGAAAUAGAAGUGUUCUCUUCGGAGACAAAGUGACAGGUGGUGCAUGGUCGUCGUCAGCUCGUGUCGUGAGAUGUUGGGUUAAGUCCCGCAACGAGCGCAACCCUUAUUGUUAGUUGCCAGCAUUCAGAUGGGCACUCUAGCGAGACUGCCGGUGACAAACCGGAGGAAGGCGGGGACGACGUCAGAUCAUCAUGCCCCUUAUGACCUGGGCUACACACGUGCUACAAUGGCGUAUACAACGAGUUGCCAACCUGCGAAGGUGAGCUAAUCUCUUAAAGUACGUCUCAGUUCGGACUGCAGUCUGCAACUCGACUGCACGAAGUCGGAAUCGCUAGUAAUCGCGGAUCAGCACGCCGCGGUGAAUACGUUCCCGGGUCUUGUACACACCGCCCGUCACACCAUGGAAGUUUGUAAUGCCCAAAGCCGGUGGCCUAACCGUAAGGAGGGAACCGUCUAAG